CCUGGUGUGUUUAUAAGAAAAAAACUGCAGCUCAGCCUUACACGAGUCACAGAUGCACUAACCUUCCUCUAACAACAACCACGGCUGACAACAACCACGGAACAAGUACACGAUGAAGACUUGUUGUGUUACUGUGAUCAUGGCAGCAUUGGCUGUUUAUCAUACCGCACAAGCAUCGUGUACCGUUGGARAUGUUGUGAUACAAGAUGGCGAGAGUCAGCUAAUUGGAUGCAUCAAGUACUUUUGUAAAGAUUCAAAAGUGGUUGACAAGAAGGACUACAAGAGUUUCCUUUGUGGUUCGAUAGAUAAUGCCUGCUGCAAGAAAUACACCCAAAAACUUGUUUCAAAACAAAUUAGAAAACGUGGCUGCAUGUGUACACAGUGGGAAUGCAUAAACAACGAAAGAACAUGGCUCAACUAUUUCUACUAUAAAGUGGUUGACGAGCCAUUGGAAUGCCUACGAAAUUAACCAAAAAUAAAGUUUGACAGGUUGAAGGUAAAAAGAAAUCGAUGUAUUAAUCUAUGUAUACAAAUAAAGCACAUUAACCAUUAGUUGUURUUGUACCAGAAU